rnacentral:rRNA from 1 species
CAGUUUGUUGGUGAGGUAAUGGCUCACCAAGACGACGACGGGUAGCCGGCCUGAGAGGGCGACCGGCCACACUGGGACUGAGACACGGNCCAGACUCCUACGGGAGGCAGCAGUGGGGAAUAUUGCACAAUGGGGGAAACCCUGAUGCAGCGACGCAGCGUGCGGGAUGACGGCCUUCGGGUUGUAAACCGCUUUCAGCAGGGAAGAAGCCCUUCGGGGUGACGGUACCUGCAGAAGAAGUACCGGCUAACUACGUGCCAGCAGCCGCGGUAAUACGUAGGGUACAAGCGUUGUCCGGAAUUAUUGGGCGUAAAGAGCUCGUAGGUGGUUGGUCACGUCUGCUGUGGAAACGCAACGCUUAACGUUGCGCGUGCAGUGGGUACGGGCUGACUAGAGUGCAGUAGGGGAGUCUGGAAUUCCUGGUGUAGCGGUGAAAUGCGCAGAUAUCAGGAGGAACACCGGUGGCGAAGGCGGGACUCUGGGCUGUAACUGACACUGAGGAGCGAAAGCAUGGGGAGCGAACAGGAUUAGAUACCCUGGUAGUCCAUGCCGUAAACGUUGGGCACUAGGUGUGGGGGACAUUCCACGUUCUCCGCGCCGUAGCUAACGCAUUAAGUGCCCCGCCUGGGGAGUACGGUCGCAAGGCUAAAACUCAAAGGAAUUGACGGGGGCCCGCACAAGCGGCGGAGCAUGCGGAUUAAUUCGAUGCAACGCGAAGAACCUUACCAAGGCUUGACAUACACCAGACCGUUCUGGAAACAGUUCCUCCCCUUUGGGGUUGGUGUACAGGUGGUGCAUGGUUGUCGUCAGCUCGUGUCGUGAGAUGUUGGGUUAAGUCCCGCAACGAGCGCAACCCUCGUUCUAUGUUGCCAGCACGUGAUGGUGGGAACUCAUAGGAGACUGCCGGGGUCAACUCGGAGGAAGGUGGGGAUGACGUCAAAUCAUCAUGCCCUUUAUGUCUUGGGCUUCACGCAUGCUACAAUGGCUGGUACAGAGAGAUGCGAGACCGCGAGGUUUUAGCGAAUCCCUUAAAGCCAGUCUCAGUUCGGAUCGUAGUCUGCAAUUCGACUACGUGAAGUCGGAGUCGCUAGUAUCGC